GCCUCUGUGGCGCAGCGGUAGGGCGCUCGUCUGCGACAUCGGAGGUCCUGGGUUCGAAUCCCGGCUAGGGCA
rnacentral:tRNA from 1 species